rnacentral:lncRNA from 1 species
GAAUGACUGGCUAUGAUGGAAACAGCCACCAUGUUGUGAGGACACUCAAUUAGCCUUGUGGAGAGACCCACAUGGGUGAGAAACUAAGGUCUGCCACCAACAGCCCACAUCCAUUGCCAGCUCUGAGAGCAAAUAGAUCCUGCAGACCUAGUCAAGCCUCAUUUGACUGACACCUCAGUCAACAUCUUGACUGCAAGCCCAUGCAAAACACUGAGCCAGAAACCACCCACCCAAGAAGCUGUGAAUUCCUGACUGGCAAAAAAUGCUGAGCAGAAAACCAGGAAGUGGAUGGACUCCACCUCCGCAGCCACGCCUGCCCGUUUGCGCUUACUGGACUGAGGUCCUCAGGAACGUGAGCCCCUCUUCUUGGGCCUGCGAUUCCUCACCUGGAAGGGAGAAGAGUGGACUUCCUGCCUAGAGAACACCUUGGUAAACUCUUUGUGGUUCCUGUCAUGAGAAGGUGUGCAGCUUAGGGAAAAAGCCUGUGAGCUCUGGAAUCAGAUGGAACUGGAUAUGAAUUUCCAUUUAGCGCUUGUUGGAUUAAAUGUGAUGCUACUUCUCCCAGCCGAAAGAAUAAAACUGGUAAGAGGAAGGGAAAUGCAGCCUCAGUAAGGAGGCCUCCAUUCUGGAAGGGCUUCCCAGGCCCAGAGAAGGGAGAAAGUAAUUUGGAACCACCCAAGUAUUGGUGAUGCCAGGCCUCACCCUACCCUGGGGAUAUUUAAAUCUCAAAAAGGGAGCAUGGGAAUCUGACAAAGCACUUGCAUGUAUAAAGAACUCCUCCAAAUCAACAAGGCAAACACCUCAUUAGAUACAUAGGCAAAAACCUUAGAAGAGCCACAUCACAAAGGAGCACCUCCAAAUGGCCAAGAAGCAUAUGAAAAGAUGUUCAAUCUCAUUAGCUACCAGGGAAUUCAAAUUAGAACUACACCAGGAUGGCUGAAAGUGCAAAGACUGACAAUAUCAAGGGCUGGUGGGGAUGCAGAGCAACUGGAACUCUCCUAUGCACUGCGGAAGGGGUAAAUUAAUACCGCCCCUUUGGAAGAACAGUUUAGAAGCAUCACUAAAGCUGAACAUAUUCAUGCCUACUCCGGAAAUCCUGAGCCCAGUGGCUCCCUUUGAAGAACUGCCUUGGGGUUCAUGUUGCAGCAUCAAACAGGGAUGGAAGAUGCAUCUUGCUUUAGCAGCAGGAGCCUGGAAAGCAGCUGAAGCCCUGGAGGGUGCCUGGCACACAGAAUCUUGUGCUGAGCCUGGAGCACAAUGGGAGCGGGCUGGCAGGGUGGGUUCACAGCUGGACUGGGAGCAGCAGACAUACAGGCCGUAGGCACAGACAUAUAAAGACAGUCAUGCAGAUUGCAGGAUGCCUGAGAGCACAGACUCUCACAUGCACAAAUACGUGCGUGAUCGCCAGUGUGCAUCCAGACAGCCCCACAUGCAUGCACACGCAUGCACACAUGUGAUGUGUACAUAGAUGGACACAUGUCUAUGCCCACAAACACUGCAGAGACACACACAGAAGUGUCUGGCAAGGAACACUAUUUUGUCCUCAAUUUUCUGCCAGUGAGAGUCUACUGACUCCAUCUCUGAAAUGUCUCUACUUAUUGUCCCUCUUCUCCACCUGCGCCACAUCCCUAGUCCCUGAAACUCCCACCGAGACCCCUGGGCAAUAGCAAAGUCUGGACAGGAUUCCUGCUCCGCCUCUACCCCACCCUUAAGCCCAUCCUACAUGCAAGAGCAGGAGUUAUCUGGGUAUCAAGCGAAUCUGACCAGAUCACCUCCCCACUGCUUAAAACCCUUUCCUACAGGAUGAAGUUGAAAUCACUUGACAUCCCAUAUAAGGCCCUUGACUGUCUGGCAUCAGUCAUAGUCUGGCCUCAGGCCCUGGCAUGGAGUCCCCUGGACUCAGUGCUCCAGCUGAGGGCCUCCAGGAUGAAGAUGCCCUGUGCAAAGCCUCACACUUUUGCUGUUGCUGGGCUCACUGUGUGAAAUUCCCUCCUCCCUCCUUCCACCUUCCCUAUGCUGAACUGCCACUCCUCCAUCCUCCAUGGCCAGCUAAGCCAACACCUCCCCACUUCCUCCUGACAACCCAGGCACAGCCACUGACCUGUCCCAUGGCUGUCACAGCCCUUUCUUGGGCUCUCAAUGGUAUCAUUGUCACCUGUGUGCUCAUGAGCCUCCGCCACUCAACUCCAAGCACAUCAAAUAGAGAGCUCAAAACAU